rnacentral:lncRNA from 1 species
CUAAUUGCAGUUCAAUAUUCAGAUCAACUGGAUGAUAAAUACUCUCAGGUCUAAUUAUUUAUAGAUAGUCCACCUUUCUGAUAGAUCCAACACAGGAAAUAAAAAGACAAAAUGUGGAAGAAACUGGUUGGUCAAAGAGGGUUUAAGCUUGUCAUGGAGAAAGCCAGAGCUUAUUAUAAGGUAGAUCCAAGCACACAGGCAAAUCUCAGAUCAGAAGGGAGGGCCGCCUCCAGGAGGGCCGUAAGGUCCGCGAGGUCCACCGAAGCAGUCUUGUAGCAACCAGCAACAGCAGAGGCAGUAGAAGCUGCAUAUAUCAAAAAGGAAAAACAUGUGAUUUGAAAAGCACUGGAUUAAUUAACCAUUUUGAGAAGAAUCUUUACUUUAUGCCCUUCAACGAAUUCACAUGACUAAGAAUCAGUUAAAUACAGAAGAUAAAAAGAAAAAAAGUCCAACAUUAUCAUACUCUAGUCUGGAAAUGGAUCAUACCAAGAAGAUAUCAUGUUGCAUAUACCAUUUGCAAACCCACCAAAGAAUCCACCGGGGCCAAAACCAGGUCCUCCGGGGCCAAAACCAGGGCCUCCGGGGCCAAAACCAGGGCCUCCAGGGCCAAAACCAGGGCCUCCGGGGCCAAAACCAGGGCCUCCGGGGCCAAAACCAGGUCCUCCAGGGCCAGGGCCCCAACCCCCAGGACCACCUGGUCCACCAGGUCCACCAGGUCCCAUCACAGUGCUCUACCCUGUGGAACUGAAGCAGAUACCACACACACGAAGAGGAAGAGCCAGAAAGAUAUUUCAGAGUCUGGAUCCAAUAUGAUAUUUGUGUAAGGAAGCCUAAGGAUCUAGAAUUUUUCCCCGCAUAUAAAGAAUAAAGUUCAUG